rnacentral:rRNA from 1 species
UACGGGGGGAGCAAGCGUUGUUCGGAAUUACUGGGCGUAAAGGGCUCGUAGGCGGCCAACUAAGUCAGACGUGAAAUCCCUCGGCUUAACCGGGGAACUGCGUCUGAUACUGGAUGGCUUGAAUCCGGGAGAGGGAUGUGGAAUUCCAGGUGUAGCGGUGAAAUGCGCAGAUAUCAGGAGGAACACCGGUGGCGAAGGCGGGACUCUGGGCCGAUACUGACGCUGAGGAGCGAAAGCGUGGGGAGCAAACAGG